CCUACGGGAGGCAGCAGUGGGGAAUAUUGGGCAAUGGACGCAAGUCUGACCCAGCAACGCCGCGUGAAGGAAGACGGCUUUCGGGUUGUAAACCUCUUUUAAGGGGGAAGAGCAGAAGACGGUACCUCUUGAAUAAGCCACGGCUAACUACGGGCCAGCAGCCGCGGUAAUACGUAGGUGGCAAGCGUUGUCCGGAUUUACUGGGUGUAAAGGGCGUGCAGCCGGGAAGACAAGUCAGAUGUGAAAUCUCGGGGCUCAACCGCGGAACUGCAUUUGAAACUGUUUUUCUUGAGUGUCGGAGAGGUAGGCGGAAUUCCUGGUGUAGCGGUGAAAUGCGUAGAUAUUAGGAAGAACACCAGUGGCGAAGGCAGAUUACU
rnacentral:rRNA from 1 species